rnacentral:rRNA from 1 species
GACGAGCGCUGGCGGCGUGCCUAAUACAUGCAAGUCGAGCGCAGGAAAUCAUCCGAACCCUUCGGGGGGACGUUGAUGGAAUGAGCGGCGGACGGGUGAGUAACACGUAAAGAACCUGCCCUCAGGUCUGGGAUAACCACGAGAAAUCGGGGCUAAUACCGGAUGGGUCAUCGGACCGCAUGGUCCGAGGAUGAAAGGCGCUUCGGCGUCGCCUGGGGAUGGCUUUGCGGUGCAUUAGCUAGUUGGUGGGGUAAUGGCCCACCAAGGCGACGAUGCAUAGCCGACCUGAGAGGGUGAGCGGCCACACUGGGACUGGGACACGGCCCAGACUCCUACGGGAGGCAGCAGUAGGGAAUCUUCCACAAUGGACGAAAGUCUGAUGGAGCAACGCCGCGUGAACGAUGAAGGCCUUCGGGUCGUAAAGUUCUGUUGUAAGGGAAGAACAAGUGCCGCAGGCAAUGGCGGCACCUUGACGGUACCUUGCGAGAAAGCCACGGCUAACUACGUGCCAGCCGCCGCCGUAA